GGGAGGAGGCCGGAUCCUGGGCUGUGUCCCGGCGCCCUGUGCUCCCGGGCCUGUGCUGUUGGUUUCGUGCUCCCGGUAGCGCAGCCGCCU
rnacentral:pre_miRNA from 1 species